rnacentral:rRNA from 1 species
AUUGAACGCUGGCGGCAGGCCUAACACAUGCAAGUCGAACGGGUGGCGGACGGGUGAGUAAUGUCUGGGCAACUGCCUGAUGGAGGGGGAUAACUACUGGAAACGGUAGCUACAACCGCAUACCAUCAGAUGUGCCCAGAUGGGUAUAGCUUGUGGGUGGGGUAAAGGCUUACCAAGGCGACUAUCCCUAGCUGGUCUGAGAGGAUGACCAGCCACACUGGAACUGAGACACGGUCCAGACUCCUACGGGAGGCAGCAGUGGGGAAUAUUGCACAAUGGGCGAAAGCCUGAUGCAGCCAUGCCGCGGGUGUGAAGAAGGCCUUCGGAUUGUAAAGUACUUUCAGCGGGGAGGCGUUACCCACAGAAGAAGCACCGGCUAACUCCGUGCCAGCAGCCGCGGUAAUAC